CAAUCGGAAGCACUUGGCAAGAAGCGUCCUGCAAACAAGGACACGGCAGGCCCAUCACAACAGUCUCAAAGUUCUUACCCAAGGAGGAAGAGGAGGAGAAGAAAUAGUUCUAUUGAAUAUCAAGACUAUGACGACAAUGAUGAUGCACAUGAUAGUGACAAACAAUUUGUUCCAGAUGAACAUCACAGAGAAAUCAAGCCAAGGAAGGCGAGAAAUAGGGGUACUGUUGGAGGUUCGCAUAGUCCAUCAACACCACAUUUAAGUGGGGGAUUUUUUGACAAUAAUGUACAACCAAGUAAGGAAGAACAAGGUUUAUCUCCUGUGUUGACUAGUGGAACUAAAAGGCUUUCGUGGGGUAGGGGUGGUGCCCGCAGUAACAAUAGGCAUGGCAAGGUAUAGGAUGUCACGAUUAAAAAUGCCCAACGUAUCCGCUUAGCCAAGUUAGUUGACUUUCUCCACAACAUGGAGGAAAAUGGUGAUGAGUUUGCAGCUUUGCAAAUGGCAUCAAAAGAGGAAAAGUGGGGUUGCAAGAUGUCAAUGAUUCCCACAACCAUAACUCAGUUCUCCAACCAUGUAACGAUAAACAGUCUCAAGUUGUUGAUUUGUUACAAGUCGAAUUGCAUAGAUUGAACAGACAAGAUGCUGCUCCAGGGGUUGCUGUAGCCAGCACCUGCAUUUCAAAUGGCGAACGCUUGAUUCUAUCUUACCCACGAAAGGAAGCCAUGUAAAGUAUAAUUGCUCUUCCUAUGAGUGGACUCACGGCCAAGAGCUUCACCAUACAGGCAAGAACAAGUGAGUUCUAAAUGCCAUGCCCUGGAAUCUGGAUAUAUUGUUAACCAACCGGAAGAGAUACGCCAAUUCGAGAUACCACAUACGUGAAGAAUGCCUGUAGUUUUACAGAUCCUUUCUUUUACACUAUAGUUUAAGUGAUCCUUUACAAAUUACAAUUCUUUUCAUACUGCCGAUUUAUGUAAAUAGACUGGUAUAUUAGGAUAAAUUAAUACCCCUCUUUAGGAAUGGGCAUAAGUUGAUUAUAGAUGCAGGCAAAUAAUUUGUGUUUAUUAAGAAACAGUUCCUAAUUUUCUUUCCUAUCAUAUUAUCAUACAAUCAUACAAAUUUUAUUGGAACGGUUUGGUCCGGUCUAGUCUGGUGUCUUGAUUGGUCUGGUUUGGUCUGAUUUUUCUGUCAAACCAUAUCAAAUCGGAUCGUGUGCAGCCCUAUAUUGAAAAAUUCUAAAGGGCAAGUUUAUAAAUGAUGUACAUUUGUCAUAAUGCUAUUGCUUUUAAAAUUAUAUACUACUAGAUAAUCUCCGUGUGAUGCAUGGUUUUUUUUCAUUUUGAUGUAAAAAACAAAUAAAUUGAAUAAAUCCGGCAUAAUAUUACAUUAA